rnacentral:rRNA from 1 species
UACGUAGGGCGCAAGCGUUAUCCGGAAUUAUUGGGCGUAAAGAGCUCGUAGGCGGUUUGUCGCGUCUGCUGUGAAAGACCGGGGCUCACUCCGGUUCUGCAGUGGGUACGGGCAGACUAGAGUGAUGUAGGGGGAGACUGGAAUUCCUGGUGUAGCGGUGAAAUGCGCAGAUAUCAGGAGGAACACCGAUGGCGAAGGCAUGGC